GUCAGGAUGGCCGAGCGGUCUAAGGUGCCAGACUCAAGUUCUGGACCACGAAUGUUGGCGUGGGUUCGAAUCCCACUUCUGACA
rnacentral:tRNA from 1 species